rnacentral:tRNA from 1 species
GCGCCAGUAGCUCAGUUGGUUAGAGCAGCUGACUCUUAAUCAGCGGGUCCGGGGUUCGAGUCCCUGCUGGCGCA